rnacentral:rRNA from 14 species
AUUUUUGGUAAGCAGAACUGGCGAUGCGGGAUGAACCGAACGUGAAGUUAAGGUGCCGGAAUGUACGCUCAUCAGACACCACAAAAGGUGUUAAUUCAUCUAGACAGCAGGACGGUGGCCAUGGAAGUCGGAAUCCGCUAAGGAAUGUGUAACAACUCACCUGCCGAAUGAAUUAGCCCUGAAAAUGGAUGGCGCUUAAGCGUACUACCCAUACUUCACCGCCAGGGUAGAAACGAUGCCCUGGCGAGUAGGCAGGCGUGGGGGUCCGUGACGAAGCCUUGGGAGUGAUCCCGGGUAGAACGGCCUCUAGUGCAGAUCUUGGUGGUAGUAGCAAAUACUCAAAUGAGAACUUUGAGGACUGAAGUGGGGAAAGGUUCCAUGUGAACAGCAGUUGGACAUGGGUUAGUCGAUCCUAAGAGAUAGGGAAACUCCGUUUUAAAGUGCGCACUUGUGCGCCGUCCCUCGAAAGGGAAGCCGGUUAAUAUUCCGGCACCUGGAUUUGGAUUCUCCACGGCAACGUAACUGAACGCGGAGACGACGGCGGGGGCCCUGGGAAGAGUUCUCUUUUCUUCUUAACAACCUAUCACCCUGAAAUCGGUUUGUCCGGAGCUAGGGUUUAACGGUUAGUAGAGCCCGACACUUUUGUCGGGUCCGGUGCGCUCUCGACGUCCCUUGAAAAUCCGCGGGAAGGAAUAGCUUUCAAGCCAGGUCGUACUCAUAACCGCAGCAGGUCUCCAAGGUGAACAGCCUCUAGUUGAUAGAACAAUGUAGAUAAGGGAAGUCGGCAAA